rnacentral:rRNA from 1 species
CCUACGGGUGGCUGCAGUGGGGAAUAUUGCACAAUGGGCGCAAGCCUGAUGCAGCCAUGCCGCGUGUGUGAAGAAGGCCUUCGGGUUGUAAAGCACUUUCAGCGGGGAGGAAGGCGGUGAGGUUAAUAACCUCAUCGAUUGACGUUACCCGCAGAAGAAGCACCGGCUAACUCCGUGCCAGCAGCCGCGGUAAUACGGAGGGUGCAAGCGUUAAUCGGAAUUACUGGGCGUAAAGCGCACGCAGGCGGUCUGUCAAGUCGGAUGUGAAAUCCCCGGGCUCAACCUGGGAACUGCAUUCGAAACUGGCAGGCUAGAGUCUUGUAGAGGGGGGUAGAAUUCCAGGUGUAGCGGUGAAAUGCGUAGAGAUCUGGAGGAAUACCGGUGGCGAAGGCGGCCCCCUGGACUAAGACUGACGCUCAGGAGCGAAAGCGUGGGGAGCAAACAGGAUUAGAUACCCGGGUAGUC